rnacentral:tRNA from 1 species
GCGGGCGUGGCGGAAUUGGCAGACGCGUACGGCUUAGGACCGUAUGGAGAAAUCCUUGGGGGUUCAAGUCCCUUCGCCCGCACCA